AUCGAGUGCGCCCCCGGAAACCCCUGGUAGAUAGUCCCGACUCACUCGUAUCACAUCUUCGUCCAACUCGCAAAGCACAACUUUUUCAAGCAUCUUAUCCACAGCGUCGUGUCGCAGAACCUCCCGCAGCACGCCGCCGUCGCCGCCGCCAACCACCAGCACCCGCUCGGGUCGCGGGUGUGCAAACAUCGGCAAGUGUGUGAUCAUCUCCUGGUACGCAAACUCGUCUCGUUCUGUGACCUGAAUAGCUCCAUCGAGAACCAAUACACGGCCGUGUGCUCUGGAGUCAAAAACCAAAAUGUCUUGGAAGCGAGAGCGCCCCUGGUACAGAACGCGCUGAACCUCCAGUGCCAGCGCCUGCCCCGGCCACAGGGGGCUUCGUUCCAUGAACCAACCUCCUUGGAUACAUUCGACCAACUCACGGCCAUUUGUAGCGGCUGAGUCCCGAUCAGCAUUAAGCGGACUAGGAUUUUGUGUAUUCAUCUGGUGUAGGUGCUCCCAAAGCGGAAACGCUGGAUGCGUUCCAAGCACGUGCUCCUUAGCGCAGCAGCCGCUGCGUACGUCGUACCGAGGCGCCGCACGCCGUUGCUGCUUCGGGAUUCCCGGCAGCGAUUUGCGUUCGCGGCAUAUGAUCGUCGAAGCAGGCGUCAGCGGUCGCUUGUUCAUGACAAGGAGGCACCAUAUGUCGAGCUGGCGUCCGUCAGGGCCUCGUACGGGCGCUGCCUGUACCCGAGAGCAAUCACGGAUCCAGCGGAUCGAGGUAAGAUGUAUCGAUUUUUCAGUAUGAAAAAGAGCAGUGGCCUUCUUCUCGUAUUGUCGGGUAUGAGUAUGCAUCCACGCAAUUCAGCUACGAUUCAUCCACGUCUCCGUAUUGCAAGGAGCAGCAAUCCUCUUCUCACAUUUUCGGGUAUCAUUAGGCAUCCACGCAAUCCAGGCACGAUUCAUCCACGUCUCCGUAUUGCAAGGAGCAGCAAUCCUCUUCUCACAUUUUCGGGUAUCAUUAGGCAUCCACGGAAUCCAGGCACGAUUCAUCCACGUCUCCGUAUUGCAAGGAGCAGCAAUCCUCUUCUCACAUUUUCGGGUAUCAUUAGGCAUCCACGCAAUCCAGCUACGAUGCAUCCACGUCUCCGUAUUGCAAAACGGUUUCAGCCUCUGCGGUUGCGCUGCCGCAUGUUCUCCGUCGAUGCUUCAGCGGCGCAUCACUCUGAAGCAAUUCGACAUUCGGUUUCUCGCAGAGGGUGUGUGUAGAGGCGUGCCUCUACCCGUUUUUCAUCGAGAACCACACACUUUACUGCCGGUCGAUCGGAAGCUCUCCAUGAUAUGGAUCCAGGGCGCCGCCGACGAGACGGUUUCUACCGUCUAGUGGAAGAUGAGGAGGCUGGCACCGGCCAGUCGACCGCGGUGCGCUCCCAGAGGGGAAACGCAGGUGCGUCUCUUCGCCCCGGAGCUUUGGGUUCCGUAUGGGUCGCUGUUCAGGUGGUGACCGUGGGUGCAGUGCUGGUGCUUUUCACCACAGGCAUCCUGUACGGUGCGCAGCGGCUCUGGUUAGAGCCACAGAUGAACGCUGCGCACGGCAAGCUGGACACGGCAGCAGAGGCGCAGCUGCGCUCUGCCCUAGACGUAAACGCGACCGUUGUUGAGAACGCUCGCCAGGCGGUGCUCUUCACACCUAGCGCAUGAGUAAGUACGCCAAGCGAAUGAUGCGGAACUAUAUACCUUAUCUACAUUGACGGAGGUUGAUUUCUUACCGAAAUCUUCGAUGAGGAGCAUACCAAGACUCCUUGGCUGACGCUGAGUACCAGAGACUAACCGGACCCGAGUGACGUGGAACUCGCUCACAACGGCGAGUGAGCGUCUCGCUAACUUAAACAGGCCUUGGGGAGGUAUCCGGGAGUUCGCGAUUUCACCACACGGGUUUUUGUGUCGAACGCAUGGAGGUUCCAACGCCCAGUUCGUCGAGAUUUUACGCCCGGCAAACCGAAGCUGGAGUUUUACGCAGAAGGCGGUGUGCUGCUUCGACAGGUGGACAUCGACCUCCUGAACGCUGAGCAGAUUGCGCUCGUUCUGGAGAAACAUGGAUUCCCACGAAUGCCUCCGUGAUCGUUGAAUAGCCGCGAGCACUGCAACGUGACCAUGAAGCGGCUUCUAUAAAGGCGCGCUCGCCGGGGAAGCGGCUGACCCGUUCCAGUGCUUGGGGCAGCAAAGGAACGAAGGGAACUUUUUCGGUUCAGGGAAGGAUUAUCAUUUAAAGGACUAGAGACGAGUGCCGGUGUACGCAGGCGAUGAGCGACAUUCCUGAAAUAACGCGGCGGUCGCACCCGCAUAUGCUAUAGAGUGUCCGGGGGGCGGCGCCCGCCGAUAUCUCCACCAGAUGUCCCUCGGUCCAUUGUCCAAGAACAAGCGCAUGCACGCAGAUUCAGCGCUCAGAACGUCGCCAGGUAUGAACUUGUAUCCCAGGAGACGUCAGUCUCCACCACAACGCCGUGGUUCGCAGGUGAUAACGCCGCUGCGGGCACCGUGCACACAUGCCAUGCACCGUGUGUGUCAUGGGUGCACGUCAAUAGUGCUGGCAGGUGAUGCGCUCCUGGUGUACAGCACGCGACACAGGCCGCGGCUGAUUGAAGCCAAUCGAUGUGGCGCUCGUGCUUUUGCAUGCUGGAGUUCACUGGGGUCUACGCUCGCGCCUCUGGGACGUGCGUUCCGAAAAACAAGGAUAUGGCGGGGCCAGUUGGAGCUUGGUGCAGCUGCAAUACCACGCGAAACAUCCGAGGAACAUGGUGUCCUGAGCUCUGCUCUCCAAGUAUGAGAACAACAUCUUGAUCGCCACGAUUACGAUGUUCUGGGAAGAUAUCACAUGAAAUUCGCUCACGCUGUAACUGCUUUGACGGAUCCUGCCUAGCAGUUACGAUGCGACAACACUGGCGCGAUUGCGAUUCCAUUCCUGAGUGCAAGAGAUGGAUGCAUGUACUGACCAGGAAUCCGCCGAAUGCGAAUUUCGUACCGUGUUCAGGGAAGCAACCAUUAAUAUACCCUAGGCGCUUGCAGUGCCCCGAGCAACAUACUACAUUCGCAGAGGUCCGUUCAAACGGCCUUUUGGAUUCCGAACUUAUCGGGGUCGCGUCCUGCGGCAUUGAAAGCGUUAUUGCGGGCGCUAUGCACGGAAACAGAACGCUUUCGCCAUAGACAGGCGAGCGUCAACGCGAGCGGUCUUCAGGGACACUGCGCAUGAUGCUGUUUGUUUGCACGUGCGCCAUAAAACGGCA